GAAUAGAUUAGUAUAUCAGGUGUCGAAAGACUUAAUAAGUAAGCAGGUGCAAAGCCUGCGCUGUCACGCAGCUGUAAAGUGGAGCAAGCCUUAAUUAUGCCACUGGGAAACCGGGAAGGCGAGGCUUGCGAGGAAACUGAGCCAGAAGAAUUGCCUGAGAAAGUAAAGACCAA
rnacentral:ncRNA from 25 species